rnacentral:rRNA from 1 species
UACGUAGGGGGCAAGCGUUGUCCGGAUUUAUUGGGCGUAAAGAGCGUGUAGGCGGCUUUACAGGUCCGUUGUGAAAACUCGAGGCUCAACCUCGAGACGCCGGUGGAAACCGUAAAGCUAGAGUCCGGAAGAGGAGAGUGGAAUUCCUGGUGUAGCGGUGAAAUGCGCAGAUAUCAGGAAGAACACCCGUGGCGAAGGCGGCUCUCUGGGACGGUACUGACGCUCAUGCACGAAAGCGUGGGGAGCAAACAGG